rfam:Corchorus olitorius cultivar O-4 contig21908, whole genome shotgun sequence.
UGGCAAUGAUGUGAAAUUAGAGAAAGUCAUGCAUCACGCUGAAUCUAUUACGUGCUGAUAAUUCUCUCUACCCAUAUUUUUUCCGAGCCU